rnacentral:tRNA from 1 species
GGCCCAUUCGUCUAUCGGUCAGGACGUCAGGUUUUCAACCUGAAAAGAGGGGUUCGAUUCCCCUAUGGGCUACCA